rnacentral:rRNA from 1 species
AUUGAACGCUGGCGGCAGGCCUAACACAUGCAAGUCGAACGGUAACAGGAAGCAGCUUGCUGCUUCGCUGACGAGUGGCGGACGGGUGAGUAAUGUCUGGGAAACUGCCUGAUGGAGGGGGAUAACUACUGGAAACGGUAGCUAAUACCGCAUAACGUCGCAAGACCAAAGAGGGGGACCUUCGGGCCUCUUGCCAUCGGAUGUGCCCAGAUGGGAUUAGCUAGUAGGUGGGGUAACGGCUCACCUAGGCGACGAUCCCUAGCUGGUCUGAGAGGAUGACCAGCCACACUGGAACUGAGACACGGUCCAGACUCCUACGGGAGGCAGCAGUGGGGAAUAUUGCACAAUGGGCGCAAGCCUGAUGCAGCCAUGCCGCGUGUAUGAAGAAGGCCUUUCGGGUUGUAAAGUACUUUCAGCGGGGAGGAAGGCGAUAAGGUUAAUAACCUUGUCGAUUGACGUUACCCCGCAGAAGAAGCACC